AGUGAACGCUGGCGGUAGGCCUAACACAUGCAAGUCGAACGGCAGCACAGUAAGAGCUUGCUCUUACGGGUGGCGAGUGGCGGACGGGUGAGGAAUACAUCGGAAUCUCCUUUUUCGUGGGGGAUAACGUAGGGAAAAUUACGCUAAUACCGCAUACGACCUACGGGUGAAAGCAGGGGAUCUUCGGAACUUGCGCGAUUGAAUGAGCCGAUGUCGGAUUAGCUAGUUGGCGGGGUAAAGGCCCACCAAGGCGACGAUCCGUAGCUGGUCUGAGAGGAUGAUCAGCCACACUGGAACUGAGACACGGUCCAGACUCCUACGGGAGGCAGCAGUGGGGAAUAUUGGACAAUGGGCGCAAGCCUGAUCCAGCCAUACCGCGUGGGUGAAGAAGGCCUUCGGGUUGUAAAGCCCUUUUGUUGGGAAAGAAAAGCAGCAGGUUAAUACCCCGCUGUUCUGACGGUACCCAAAGAAUAAGCACCGGCUAACUUCGUG
rnacentral:rRNA from 1 species